rnacentral:rRNA from 1 species
CUGAUGCAGCGACGCCGCGUGAGGGAUGACGGCCUUCGGGUUGUAAACCUCUUUCAGCAGGGAAGAAGCGAAAGUGACGGUACCUGCAGAAGAAGCACCGGCUAACUACGUGCCAGCAGCCGCGGUAAUACGUAGGGUGCGAGCGUUAUCCGGAAUUAUUGGGCGUAAAGAGCUCGUAGGCGGUUUGUCACGUCUGUCGUGAAAGUCCGGGGCUUAACCCCGGAUCUGCGGUGGGUACGGGCAGACUAGAGUGCAGUAGGGGAGACUGGAAUUCCUGGUGUAGCGGUGGAAUGCGCAGAUAUCAGGAGGAACACCGAUGGCGAAGGCAGGUCUCUGGGCUGUAACUGACGCUGAGGAGCGAAAGCAUGGGGAGCGAACAGGAUUAGAUACCCUGGUAGUCCAUGCCGUAAACGUUGGGCACUAGGUGUGGGGACCAUUCCACGGUUUCCGCGCCGCAGCUAACGCAUUAAGUGCCCCGCCUGGGGAGUACGGCCGCAAGGCUAAAACUCAAAGGAAUUGACGGGGGCCCGCACAAGCGGCGGAGCAUGCGGAUUAAUUCGAUGCAACGCGAAGAACCUUACCAAGGCUUGACAUGUUUUCGACCGCCGUGGAGACACGGUUUCCCCUUUGGGG